UCAAGCUACUAAGGGCAUACGGUGGAUGCCUUGGCACUAAGAGCCGAUGAAGGACGCGGUAAGCUGCGAAAAGCCACGGGGAACUGCAAGCAAGUCUUGAUCCGUGGAUGUCCGAAUGGGGAAACCCACCAUCCGUCAUGGGAUGGUAUCCUACGGGAGGGGAACCCGGUGAACUGAAACAUCUAAGUAGCCGGAGGAAGAGAAAUCAAACGAGAUGCCCACAGUAGCGGCGAGCGAAGAGGGCAGAGCCUAAACCAGUCAUCUUCGGAUGGUUGGGGUUACGGACCUGCAUCAACCGAGUCCUACCUAGUCGAAUUACCUGGAAAGGUAAGCCAGAGAGCGUAAGAGCCGCGUAGGUGAAAGGAAGGACGAGGGGGCAGGGAUCCAGAGUACCACGAAGCACGAGGAAUUUUGUGGGAAGUCGGGGGGACCACCCUCCAAGGCUAAACACUUCUUAGUGACCGAUAGCGCAUAGUACCGUGAGGGAAAGGUGAAAAGAACCGCGGGAGCGGAGUGAAAGAGAACCUGAAACCGUAUGUCUACAAGCAGUCGGAGCGCAAGCGACGGCGUGCCUAUUGAAGAAUGAGCCAACGAGUUACGGGCACCAGCGAGGUUAAGCAGGAAAUGCGGAGCCGGAGCGAAAGCGAGUCUAAACAGGGCGGAUAGUUGGUGUUCGUAGACCCGAAACUGUAGUGAUCUACCCAUGAUCAGGUUGAAGCGCAGGUAAAAAUGCGUGGAGGACCGAACCGGUGAGCGUUGAAAAGCUUUCGGAUGAAUCGUGGGUAGCGGUGAAAUUCCAAUCGAACGCAGAGAUAGCUGGUUCUCCUCGAAAUAGCUUUAGGGCUAGCCUCAAGCAGUAAGCAUAGGCGGUAGAGCACUGAUCGGGAUAGGGUCCGUAAAGGAUACCGAACCCUGUCAAACUACGAAUGGUUAUGCUGCAGAGCUUGGGAGUCAGACUACGAGAGAUAAGUCCCGUUGUCAAAAGGGAAACAGCCCAGACCGUCAGCUAAGGUCCCCAAUGCCAUACUAAGUGGAAAAGGAUGUGGGGUCUCAUAAACAACCAGGAUGUUGGCUCAGAAGCAGCCACCAUUUAAAGAGUGCGUAAUAGCUCACUGGUCGAGAGGCCCUGCGCCGAAGAUUCCCGGGGCUAAAGUAUGGAACCGAAGCUACGGAUGCGGUACUUGUACCGCGUGGUAGAGGAGCGUUCCCAUUGGGUUGAAGUCGUCCUGGAAGGGACGGUGGACUGGUGGGAAGUGAGAAUGUUGGCAUGAGUAGCGAAAAGAUAGGUGAGAAUCCUAUCCACCGAAAGCAUAAGGAUUCCUGAGCAACGAUCGUCGUCUCAGGGUAAGUCGGGACCUAAUCCGAGGCAUGGAGCGUAGGAGAUGGACAACUGGUUGAUAUUCCAGUACCGGCAGCAAUCGUUUGAACGAUGGAGUGACGCAGGAAGGCAGGUCCGCGCGAGAAUGGUAGAUCGCGUACAAGCGUGCAGGCUGGUGCACAGGCAAAUCCGUGUACUGAGGCUGAGGCGUGAUGUGGAGGGAACUUGUUCCCGAAGGGAUUGAGCCUACGCUGCCGAGAAAAGCUUCUAGUGAGAAAGCUGCCGCCCGUACCGUAAACCGACACAGGUAUGCGGGGAGAGAAUCCUAAGGUGCGCGGGAGAACCCUCGUUAAGGAACUCGGCAAAAUGUACCCGUAACUUCGGGAUAAGGGUAGCCACAGUGGUGAAGGGACUUGCUCCUGGAGCCUAGUGUGGUCGCAGAGAAGAGGCCCAAGCGACUGUUAACCAGAAACACAGGUGCCUGCGAAAGAGAAAUCUGAUGUAUAGGUGCUGACACCUGCCCAGUGCUGGAAGGUUAAAGAAGGAUGUCCGGGUUCGACCCAAAGCAUUUGACUGAAGCCCCAGUGAACGGCGGCCGUAACUAUAACGGUCCUAAGGUAGCGAAAUUCCUUGUCGGGUAAGUUCCGACCCGCACGAAAGGUGUAACGAUUUGGGCACUGUCUCAACGAGGGACCCGGUGAAAUUGAAAUACCUGUGAAGAUGCAGGUUACCCGCGACUGGACAGAAAGACCCCAUGGAGCUUUACUGUAACCUAAUAUUGGGUUCUGAUAUUCGACGCACAGGAUAGGUGGGAGGCUUGGAGCAUGGUCCUCUGGGAUCAUGGGAGCCGCCGUUGGGAUACCACCCUUCGAAUAUCGGGAUUCUAACCGCAGGAGCAACGAUCCUCGGGACAGUGUUAGGCGGGCAGUUUGACUGGGGCGGUCGCCUC
rnacentral:rRNA from 1 species